AACGAACGCUGGCGGCAUGCCUAACACAUGCAAGUCGAACGAGACCUUCGGGUCUAGUGGCGCACGGGUGCGUAACGCGUGGGAACCUGCCCUUAGGUUCGGAAUAACUCCCCGAAAGGGGUGCUAAUACCGGAUAAUGUCUUCGGACCAAAGAUUUAUCGCCUUUGGAUGGGCCCGCGUUGGAUUAGCUAGUUGGUAGGGUAAAAGCCUACCAAGGCGACGAUCCAUAGCUGGUCUGAGAGGAUGAUCAGCCACACUGGGACUGAGACACGGCCCAGACUCCUACGGGAGGGAGCAGUGGGGAAUAUUGGACAAUGGGCGAAAGUCUGAUCCAGCAGUGCCGCGUGAGUGAUGAAGGCCUUAGGGUUGUAAAGCUCUUUUACCCGGGAUGAUAAUGACAGUACCGGGAGAAUAAGCUCCGGCUAACUCCGUG
rnacentral:rRNA from 1 species